UAGGGAAUCUUCGGCAAUGGACGAAAGUCUGACCGAGCAACGCCGCGUGAGUGAAGAAGGUUUUCGGAUCGUAAAACUCUGUUGUUAGAGAAGAACAAGGACGUUAGUAACUGAACGUCCCCUGACGGUAUCUAACCAGAAAGCCACGGCUAACUACGUGCCAGCAGCCGCGGUAAUACGUAGGUGGCAAGCGUUGUCCGGAUUUAUUGGGCGUAAAGCGAGCGCAGGCGGUUUCUUAAGUCUGAUGUGAAAGCCCCCGGCUAAACCGGGGAGGGUCAUUGGAAACUGGGAGACUUGAGUGCAGAAGAGGAGAGUGGAUUUCCAUGUGUAGCGGUGAAAUGCGUAGAUAUAUGGAGGAACACCAGUGGCGAAGGCGGCUCUCUGGUCUGUAACUGACGCUGAGGCUCGAAAGCGUGGGGAGCAAACAGG
rnacentral:rRNA from 1 species